rnacentral:rRNA from 1 species
GCAAGUCGAGCGGUAACAGAUCUAGCUUGCUAGAUGCUGACGAGCGGCGGACGGGUGAGUAACGCGUGGGAAUAUACCUAGUAGUGGGGGAUAGCCCGGGGAAACUCGGAUUAAUACCGCAUAAUCUCUUCGGAGGAAAGCAGGGGAUCUUCGGACCUUGUGCUGCUAGAUUAGCCCGCGUCAGAUUAGCUAGUUGGUAGGGUAAAGGCCUACCAAGGCGACGAUCUGUAGCUGGCCUGAGAGGGUGGUC